CCCUUAGAUGUUCUGGGCCGCACGCGCGCUACACUGAUGCAUUCAACGAGCCUACCCUUGACCGAGAGGUCCGGGUAAUCUUUGAAACUGCAUCGUGAUGGGGCUAGAUUAUUGCAAUUAUUAAUCUUCAACGAGGAAUGCCUAGUAAGCGCGAUUCAUCAAAUCGCGUUGAUUACGUCCCUGCCCUUUGUACACACCGCCCGUCGCUCCUACCGAUUGAGUGUGUUGGUGAGGAGUUUGGAUUGGCCUCGGAAGGUGGUUCGCCACCGUCCGUAGCUGAGAAGUUCUCCAAACCGCCCCACUUAGAGGAAGGAGAAGUCGUAACA
rnacentral:rRNA from 1 species